GAGUGUACCUGUAAAAAAUCAUCAAAAUUGGAGUUAAAAUAACCGUUAAAUUGUGAUUUUUUGUUUUAUAAUCGUCGAAAAGUUUUGUCCCGUUACUUGAUCUCUGAAUGUUUGUUUUUUGCAAUUUUUGGCGUAUGCGAUCUCGAAGUAUAUACAAACAUGUUUGACGGUUGGAUCAUUGAAACUAGUUUCGUAGAAUGCGUGUAUCUCAUCAAAACAAUAGAUUCACUAACACUUAAAAGUUUAUUCAUACUUUCAUUAAGUAUAACAUAAGAUUUUUUUGUAUCCACUAGUGUAAAUAUUUUAAAUUGAAGAUCGAAUUCAAUCAUUGUAUUCAUAUAGGGUCAAGGAGUGUAGCUGCAAAAAAUCAUCAAAAUCGGAGUUAAAAUAACCGUUAAAUCGUAUUUUUCUUUUUAUAAUCGUCGAAAAGUUUUGUCCCGUUCCUUGAUCUCUGAAUGUUUUUAUUGUUUGCAAUUUUUGACGUAUGCGAUCUCGAAGUAUAUACAAACAUGUUUAAUGGUUGGAUCAUUGAAACUAGUUUCGUAGAAUGAGUAUCCCAUCAAAACAAUAGAUUCACUAAUACUUAAGAGUUUAUUUAUACUUUCAUUAAGUAUAACAUAAAAUUUUGUGGUAUCCACUAGUGUAAAUAUUUUAAAUUGAAGAUCGAAUUCAUUCAUGAUAUUCAUAUAGGGUCAAGGAGUGUACCUGUAAAAAAUCAUCAAAAUCGGAGUUAAAAUAACCGUUAAAUCGUGAAUUUUC
rnacentral:lncRNA from 1 species